rnacentral:rRNA from 1 species
GACGAACGCUGGCGGCGUGCUUAACACAUGCAAGUCGAACGGUGAAGCGCCUUCCUUUUUGGUGGGUGUGGUUGAGUGGCGAACGGGUGAGUAACACGUGAGUAACCUGCCCCCUUCUUCUGGAUAACCGCAUGAAAGUGUGGCUAAUACGGGAUAUUCUGGGUCUGUCGCAUGAUGGGUCUGGGAAAGAUAUUGUUUCGGUGGGGGAUGGGCUCGCGGCCUAUCAGCUUGUUGGUGGGGUGAUGGCCUACCAAGGCGGUGACGGGUAGCCGGCCUGAGAGGGUGGACGGUCACACUGGGACUGAGACACGGCCCAGACUCCUACGGGAGGCAGCAGUGGGGAAUAUUGCACAAUGGGCGCAAGCCUGAUGCAGCGACGCCGCGUGAGGGAUGGAGGCCUUCGGGUUGUGAACCUCUUUCGCCAGUGAAGCAGGCCUGCCUCGUUUGUGGGUGGGUUGACGGUAGCUGGAUAAGAAGCGCCGGCUAACUACGUG